rnacentral:rRNA from 1 species
ACCGUGCGGGGUAGAGCACUGGAUGGGCUAGGGCCGCCCACAGCGGUACCAAACCCAACCAAACUCCGAAUACGCACGAGUACUGCUCGGGAGACACACGGCGGGUGCUAACGUCCGUCGUGGAGAGGGAAACAACCCUGACCGACAGCUAAGGCCCCCAAUUCGUGGCUAAGUGGGAAAGGAUGUGGGAAUCCCAAAACAACCAGGAGGUUGGCUUAGAAGCAGCCAUCCUUGAAAGAGUGCGUAAUAGCUCACUGGUCAAGUGAUUCCGCGCCGACAAUGUAGCGGGGCUCAAGUACACCGCCGAAACCGUGGCAUUCAGUUUUGCUGGAUGGGUAGGGGAGCGUCGUUCACGAGGUGAAGCCAGCGGGUAACUUCUGGUGGAUUGUGGACGAGUGAGAAUGCAGGCAUGAGUAGCGAAAGACGGGUGAGAAACCCGUCCGCCGGAUGACUCGGGGAGUGAAAUAGAACAGAAACCGUAAGCUCCCAAGCAGUGGGAGGAGCCGGGGCUCUGACCGCGUGCCUGUUGAAGGAAUGAGCCGGCGACUCAUUAGGCAGUUGGCUUUGGUUAAGGACCCAACCGGAGGCGUAGCGGAAGGCGAGUCUUCAGAGGGCAAUUGUCACUGCCUUAUGGACCCCGAACCUUGGGUGAUUUAUCCAUGACCAGAAUGGAAGCCUUGGGUGGAACCUAAGUGGAGGUCCGAACCGACUGAUUUAAAGAAUCAGCGGAUUAAGGUUUUGGUGUUAGCGGGGGUGAGAAUGCCACUCGGAAACCCAGAGCUAGCUGGUUCCCCCGAUGCGUUGAGGCGCAGCAGGUUGACCGGAACAUCUUGGGGGAAAACACUGUUUCGGUGCGGCCGCGAGAGCGGUACCAAAUCGAGGCAAACUCUGAAUACUAGAUAUGACCCAAAAAUAAUAGGGGUCAAGGUCGGCCAGUGAGACGAUGGCGGAUUAAGCCUCCAUCGUCGAGAGGAAAAGCCCGGAUCAACAAGCUAAGGCCCCUAAAUGAACCGCUCAGUGAUAAAGGAGGUAGGGGUGCAGAGACAACCCAGGAAGUGGCCUGCAAAGACAGCCAGGAGGUUUGCCUAGAAGCAGCCAACCCUUAAAUAUUGCCUAGAAGCAGCCACCCUUGAAAGAGUUCCGUAAUUGGCCCACUGAUCCAAGCGCUCCUUGUGCGCCGGAAGCUCACUGAUCGAGCGCUCUUGCGCCGAAUAUGAACGCGGGGCUAAGCCAGAUCUGCCGAAGCUCUGUGGGAUGAAAAAUGCAUCGGCAGGGGAGCGUUCCGCCUUAGGGGGGGAAAGCAAACGCGCGCGAGCGGCGGUGGACGAAGCGGAAGCGAGAAUGUCGGCUUUAGUUAAGCAAAACAUUGGGGUGAGGAAUUCCCAUUCCCCGGAAACCCAAAGAGUUCCUCCGCAAGGUUCGUCCACGGAGGGCUCUGGCUGUUUCGUCCACGGUCGCAAGGUUCGUCCACGGAGGGUGAGUCAGGGCCUAAGAUCAGGCCGAAAGGCGUAGUCGAUUGGACAAUGGGUGGAUUUCUUGUACUCCCCCUGUUUCCCGAAGGGGACGGAGGAGGCUAGGGUUAAGCCGGAAGGAUGGUUUCAUCGGUUCAAGGACGCAAGGGGUCCCCCGCUCUUCAGGGUUAAGGAGGGGGUAGAGAAAAUGCCCCGAGCCAAUGUUCGAAUUACCAGGCGCUACGGCGCUGAAAUUAAACCCAUGCUAUUCCUCCCAGGAAAAGCUCGGAACGACUUUAACAAAAGGGUACCUGUACCCGGAAACCGCGACACAAGUUGGUUAGGUAGAGAAUUCCUAGGGGCGCGAGACGACUACUCUCUCUAAGGAACUCGGCAAAAUACCCCAUAACUCCGGGAGAAGGGGUGCCCCCUCGCACAAAGGGGGUCGCAGUGACCAGGCCCGGGCGACUGUUUACCAAAAACACAGGUCUCCGCAAAGUCGUAAGACCAUGUAUUGGGGGCUUAACGCCGUCCCCGUGCCGGAAGGUCAAGGGAAGUUUGGUGACCCGGAUGACAGAGGAGAGCCGGCGACCGAAGCCCCGGGGAAAACGGCCCGUAAAUAACGGUCCUAAGGGAGCGAAAUUCCUGUCGGGUUAAGUUCCACCCGCAAAGUGCGUAACGAUCUGGGCACUGUCUCGGAAGAGGCUCGGUGAAUCAGACAUAUCACUGUUAAGAUAUUCCGGACUCUUCUCCCACUGUCUCCAGGACAUGCUCAGCGAAAUUGAAUUCCCCGUGAAGAUGCGGGGUACCCGCGGUUAGACGGAAAGACCCCGUGCACCUUUACUGCAGCUUUGCGCUGGCCAUCGUGUCGGCAUGUGUAGGAUAGGUGGUAGGCUUUGAAGUUCGGGCGCCAGCCUGGAUGGAGCCGUCCUUGAAAUACCACCCUUGACGAGAUGGUGGUCUAACCGCACCCCGUGAUCCGGGGUCGGGACCGCGCAUGGCAGGCAGUUUGACUGGGGCGGUCGCCUCCCAAAGCGUAACGGAGGCGUACGAAGGUGGGCUCAGAGCGGUCGGAAAUCGCUCGUCGCGUGCAAUGGCAUAAGCCCGCUUGACUGCGAGACGGACAGGUCGAGCAGAGACGAAAGUCGGUCAUAGUGAUCCGGUGGUCCCGCGUGGGUGGGCCAUCGCUCAACGGAUAAGGUAACGGAGGCGUGCAAAGGUUUCCUGGCCGGACCGGAGAUUGGCCCUCGAGUGCAAGGCAGGAAAGGAAGCUUGACUGCAAGAACCAACCCGUCGAACCAGGGACGGAAGGUCGGGCUUUAGUGAUCCGACGGUGCCGAGUGGAAAGGCCGUCGCUCAACGGAUAAAGGUUUCCACUCUAGGGAUAACAGUAAGGAUGCCUAACCGCCGCACCGAGAAUUCCGGGUGGGGCGGGACACUGCGAGGUGGGUAGUUUAUCUGGGGCGGAUGCCUCCUAAAGAGUAACGGAGGUGCGCGAAGGUAGGCUCAAGCUAAGAUUCUGCUCGUGAGCGUAAUGGUAUAAGCCUGCCUGACUGUGAGACCGACUGGUCGAACAGAGACGAAAGUCGGCCAUAGUGAUCCGGGAGUCCCGUGUGGAAGGGCUCUCGCUCAACGGAUCAAAGGUACGCCGGGGAUAACAGGCUGAUGACUCCCAAGAGCUCUUAUCGACGGAG